rnacentral:lncRNA from 1 species
GGAAGGGAUAAACCACCCCCUCCUCCGCCCCCUGCAAGUAGGCUAAGUGCUGAUCUCUUUCAUGUCUCUGAUGUCUUAUCACAUUUCAGAUGCUGUCACUACACCCGGCUGGGAUAUUUUCAGUGGAAAUACCUCCAGAGAAGUGAGAGCAGUUUUGACACCAGUUAUGGAGUUAUGGCUUCCAGAGAUGCUGGCCAGGAGAUGGUUGCACAAGAGAGCUUGAAGACAUUACUGGGAACAAGGACACGUUCUUCAGAAAGAUGGAACAACUGAAUAAGUACUUGUCACUUGGUUCUUAGGGAAAGGAAAAAUAAUGAUUGCAGAUUUGCACCUUGCAGUAGAAGCCUAAUUUGAUGGGGUCUUCAAAGGUCAAAGGUCUUGGAUUUGGUACUCACACAUAAAACAAAUUGAAAAAAACCCUUUAUCUUCACAUAAGUCAGUCCUUGUCCUUGUGCAAUGAAGUUCUGCUGUGCCUAGGAGCUGGGUUUCCUGACCUAACAGUGGCAACCAAGUCUCUAGGAACUUGAUUGUGCAAAAUACUGGUUGUCCUGAGCUUGUAGGGAAGGGAGCAAGUUGUAGAUGCUUAGUAUUUAACAGGGUGAAUUCUUUCUGCUUUUAAAGCAACUACCCAUGUGGUUGUCUUUUUUCUUUCUCCGGUAGUUUUAAAGGCUUUCUGUCUCACUAUAAUAAAUACAUUAUUUAAAAAUCA